AGGCCGCGAGGAGGUGACUCAGCAAGUUUCUGAUCGUGAAGUCGAGUUUUCAGCACAACCCGAAAUGUCGACGAAUAAUGAAGCUAUUCCUUUGAAUGCCAUCAAGGAAAAAAUACGAAAUAAAUAUGUGGUUGUCAGAAUUUUGCGCUUAUGGGUUCAAAAAGAUAAAUUGGGCAAGGAAGCACUUGAAAUGAUCGUGAUUGAUGAAUGGGGCAACAAAAUUCAAGCAUCCGUCUCAAUAGGGAACAAGAAAAAGUUUCAUGAGUUACUUAAAGAGGGACAAAUAACAGUUAUUAAAAACUUCCAAGUAGUGCAAAACAAUCCCACAGAAGUUGAUUUUUAAGCAUCGAAAAAUUCUAAAAUCAUCAUAAUUAGAUUGGAUUGGUGGAAGUGUCUAAAAUUAGUUUCUGAGUUCAGAGAAUUGUUUGACUAAAAAUAUAUUUAGUUAACAUCUUUUACUUUAAAACAAACUUAUUUAAU